rnacentral:rRNA from 1 species
ACUGCUCAGGACGAACGCUGGCGGCGUGCCUAAUACAUGCAAGUCGAGCGGACAGAUGGGAGCUUGCUCCCUGAUGUUAGCGGCGGACGGGUGAGUAACACGUGGGUAACCUGCCUGUAAGACUGGGAUAACUCCGGGAAACCGGGGGCUAAUACCGGAUGGUUGUUUGAACCGCAUGGUUCAAACAUAAAAGGUGGCUUCGGCUACCACUUACAGAUGGACCCGCGGCGCAUUAGCUAGUUGGUGAGGUAACGGCUCACCAAGGCGACGAUGCGUAGCCGACCUGAGAGGGUGAUCGGCCACACUGGGACUGAGACACGGCCCAGACUCCUACGGGAGGCAGCAGUAGGGAAUCUUCCGCAAUGGACGAAAGUCUGACGGAGCAACGCCGCGUGAGUGAUGAAGGUUUUCGGAUCGUAAAGCUCUGUUGUUAGGGAAGAACAAGUACCGUUCGAAUAGGGCGGUACCUUGACGGUACCUAACCAGAAAGCCACGGCUAACUACGUGCCAGCAGCCGCGGUAAUACGUAGGUGGCAAGCGUUGUCCGGAAUUAUUGGGCGUAAAGGGCUCGCAGGCGGUUUCUUAAGUCUGAUGUGAAAGCCCCCGGCUCAACCGGGGAGGGUCAUUGGAAACUGGGGAACUUGAGUGCAGAAGAGGAGAGUGGAAUUCCACGUGUAGCGGUGAAAUGCGUAGAGAUGUGGAGGAACACCAGUGGCGAAGGCGACUCUCUGGUCUGUAACUGACGCUGAGGAGCGAAAGCGUGGGGAGCGAACAGGAUUAGAUACCCUGGUAGUCCACGCCGUAAACGAUGAGUGCUAAGUGUUAGGGGGUUUCCGCCCCUUAGUGCUGCUAUGCUAACGCAUUAAGCA